AAGGUGGGGCUGAUGACUGGGGUGAAGUCGUAACAAGGUAUCCGUACCGGAAGGUGCGGAUGGAUCACCUCCUAACAGGGAGACAACACAAUGAUUUUGAUGCCUGAGUACUUUUAUUCUUAGGCCGAAAUCCUGUCACCUUAGGUCGAUCGGUACCUCAGCUUUGAAGUCAAGGAUCAGCAGCAAUGUUGAUUGCUUGAUGGAGAUUUUUAGUUCCUAAACUUUGUCUAGGUCACACCCCAAAAGGGAUGAGACUCCUGGGCCAUUAGCUCAGGUGGUUAGAGCGCACCCCUGAUAAGGGUGAGGUCCCUGGUUCAAGUCCAGGAUGGCCCAUUCGGUGUUGGGGGUUUAGCUCAGUUGGUAGAGCGCCUGCUUUGCAAGCAGGAUGUCAGGAGUUCGAGUCUCCUAACCUCCACUGACCGAACUUGAUUCCCAUCUCCAAUUUUUUGGAGUUGAGCUCGAUUGGAGUGUGAUUUAGAUGUGUCCGCUGGAUGACCCCAGCUUCCUGUCAUUCCAGGUUUUAGAUUUUAAGUCUUAAAUUUGGUUGAUAAGAUGCUGGGCUCGGAUCAAAUAAUCAAGCAAUUGAUGAUUUGAUUUGAAGUUCUAGCAGAACCUUGACAACUGCAUAGGUGAAGUCUGGAAAAACAAAGCAUCUUACAGAUGCAUUGUUUUGAAUCUGAUCUUCUGAAAGGGAGAUUGGAUCUAGAACAAUGAAAAUUCUUUUGAGCAAGAGCCGAGACUCUUAAAUGUUCUUUGAUUCGUGUCGAGCGAAUCAGAGUUUGAUCUUGUUUUUAGCAAUAAAAACUUGAGAAUCUGCUUUCAACGGCGGUAAGCGUUUAAGAGGUUAAUUGGUCAAGCUACAAAGGGCUCAC
rnacentral:misc_RNA from 1 species